GCCUACGGGGGGCAGCAGUAGGGAAUCUUCCACAAUGGGCGAAAGCCUGAUGGAGCAACGCCGCGUGGGUGAAGAAGGUCUUCGGAUCGUAAAACCCUGUUGUUAGAGAAGAAAGUGCGUGAGAGUAACUGUUCACGUUUCGACGGUAUCUAACCAGAAAGCCACGGCUAACUACGUGCCAGCAGCCGCGGUAAUACGUAGGUGGCAAGCGUUAUCCGGAUUUAUUGGGCGUAAAGGGAACGCAGGCGGUCUUUUAAGUCUGAUGUGAAAGCCUUCGGCUUAACCGGAGUAGUGCAUGGGAAACU
rnacentral:rRNA from 1 species